rnacentral:rRNA from 1 species
AACGAACGCUGGCGGCAUGCCUAACACAUGCAAGUCGAACGAGAUCCUUCGGGGUCUAGUGGCGCACGGGUGCGUAACGCGUGGGAAUCUGCCCUUAGGUUCGGAAUAACAGUUAGAAAUGACUGCUAAUACCGGAUGAUGACGUUAAGUCCAAAGAUUUAUCGCCUGAGGAUGAGCCCGCGUAGGAUUAGCUAGUUGGUGUGGUAAAGGCGCACCAAGGCGACGAUCCUUAGCUGGUCUGAGAGGAUGAUCAGCCACACUGGGACUGAGACACGGCCCAGACUCCUACGGGAAGCAGCAGUGGGGAAUAUUGGACAAUGGGCGCAAGCCUGAUCCAGCAAUGCCGCGUGAGUGAUGAAGGCCUUAGGGUUGUAAAGCUCUUUUACCCGAGAUGAUAAUGACAGUAUCGGGAGAAUAAGCCCCGGCUAACUCCGUG